GUCCGUCGGGUUAUUGUCUCCCCAGAAACAUUUCCGUUGUGUUUUGUGUGCUUUUGCAGCAUUUUUCUUUUUGCAGCGUUUUUCUUUUUGCAGCAUUUUUCUUUUUGCAAGUGUUUUUCUUUUUGCAGCAUUUUUCUUUUUGCAGCAUUUUUCUUUUUGCAAGUGUUUUUCUUUUUGCAGCAUUUUUCUUUUUGCAAGUGUUUUUCUUUUUGCAAGUGUUUUUCUUUUUGCAGCAUUUUUCUUUUUGCAGCAUUUUUCUUUUUGCAGCAUUUUUCUUUUUGCAAGUGUUUUUCUUUUUGCAAGUGUUUUUCUUUUUGCAGGUGUUUUUCUUUUUGCAGCAUUUUUCUUUUUGCAAGUUUUUUCUGAAGUUGCAGUCCGUUUGGCCUCUCAGGGCCACCGUAAAAUUU
ensembl:lncRNA